UUUGCGUCGAAGGUAUACCGGUAAGGAGUGCUGGAGCGAAUAGAAGUGAGCAUGCAGGCAUGAGUAGCGAUAAUUAAUGUGAGAAUCAUUAACGCCGUAAACCCAAGGUUUCCUACGCGAUGCUCGUCAUCGUAGGGUUAGUCGGGUCCUAAGUCGAGUCCGAAAGGGGUAGACGAUGGCAAAUUGGUUAAUAUUCCAAUACCAACAUUAGUGUGCGAUGGAAGGACGCUUAGGGCUAAGGGGGCUAGCGGAUGGAAGUGCUAGUCUAAGGUCGUAGGAGGUUAUACAGGCAAAUCCGUAUAACAAUACUCCGAGAACUGAAAGGCUUUUUGAAGUCUUCGGAUGGAUAGAAGAACCCCUGAUGCCGUCGAGCCAAGAAAAGUUUCUAAGUUUAGCUAAUGUUGCCCGUACCGUAAACCGACACAGGUGGGUGGGAUGAGUAUUCUAAGGCGCGUGGAAGAACUCUCUUUAAGGAACUCUGCAAAAUAGCACCGUAUCUUCGGUAUAAGGUGUGGUUAGCUUUGUAUUAGGAUUUACUCCGAAAGCAAGGAAACUUACAACAAAGAGUCCCUCCCGACUGUUUACCAAAAACACAGCACUCUGCUAACUCGUAAGAGGAUGUAUAGGGUGUGACGCCUGCCCGGUGCUCGAAGGUUAAUUGAUGGGGUUAGCAUUAGCGAAGCUCUUGAUCGAAGCCCGAGUAAACGGCGGCCGUAACUAUAACGGUCCUAAGGUAGCGAAAUUCCUUGUCGGUUAAAUACCGACCUGCAUGAAUGGCGUAACGAGAUGGGAGCUGUCUCAAAGAGGGAUCCAGUGAAAUUGUAGUGGAGGUGAAAAUUCCUCCUACCCGCGGCAAGACGGAGAGACCCCGUGGACCUUUACUACAGCUUGACACUGCUACUUGGAUAAGAAUGUGCAGGAUAGGUGGGAGGCUUUGAGUAUAUGACGCCAGUUGUAUAUGAGCCAUUGUUGAGAUACCACUCUUUCUUAUUUGGGUAGCUAACCAGCUUGAGUUAUCCUCAAGUGGGACAAUGUCUGGUGGGUAGUUUGACUGGGGCGGUCGCCUCCCAAAUAAUAACGGAGGCUUACAAAGGUUGGCUCAGAACGGUUGGAAAUCGUUCGUAGAGUAUAAAGGUAUAAGCCAGCUUAACUGCAAGACAUACAAGUCAAGCAGAGACGAAAGUCGGUCUUAGUGAUCCGGUGGUUCUGUGUGGAAGGGCCAUCGCUCAAAGGAUAAAAGGUACCCCGGGGAUAACAGGCUGAUCUCCCCCAAGAGCUCACAUCGACGGGGAGGUUUGGCACCUCGAUGUCGGCUCAUCGCAUCCUGGGGCUGGAGCAGGUCCCAAGGGUAUGGCUGUUCGCCAUUUAAAGCGGUACGCGAGCUGGGUUCAGAACGUCGUGAGACAGUUCGGUCCCUAUCUGCCGUGGGCGUAAGAAGAUUGAAGAGAUUUGACCCUAGUACGAGAGGACCGGGUUGAACAAACCACUGGUGUAGCUGUUGUUCUGCCAAGAGCAUCGCAGCGUAGCUAAGUUUGGAAAGGAUAAACGCUGAAAGCAUCUAAGCGUGAAGCCAACUCUAAGAUAAAUCUUCUCUAAGCUCUCUAGAAGACUACUAGUUUGAUAGGCUGGGUGUGUAAUGGAUGAAAGUCCUUUAGCUGACCAGUACUAAUAGAGCGUUUGGCUUAUCUUUAAUAAAGCAU
rnacentral:rRNA from 1 species